GGGACUAUUAGUCCUAACAGCCAGUCCAGUAGGGGACUAUUAGUCCUAACAGCCAGUCCAGUAGGGGACUAUUAGUCUAUAGGGCCCUAGUCUAAAGUAGUGCACUAUAUAGGGAAUAGGGUUCUAUAGGGCCCUGGUCUAAAGUAGUGCACUAUAUAGGGAAUAGGGUUCUAUAGGGCCCUGGUCUAAAGUAGUGCACUAUAUAGGGAAAAGGGGCCCUGGUCAAACGUUGAGUGGUGCACCAUUUGGGACAUAUCCACUAAGACCAGUUAGUUAUUCCAGACAGAGGCAGUUUAGACAGUUUGAUCUAGUUUGAUCUAGUUUGAUCUGGUUGGAUCUGGUUUGAUCUAGUUUGACUUGGUCAUGUUAAUGUUUGUUCUCACGCUCCUUCCUAUACCAUAUCUCCCUUAGUACAUCUCUCUGUUCCUCUCCAUGUCAGGGGUUCCCUAAUGUUUUAACUCGGGGUCCCUCUUCCAGCAUUGAGGAACCCCUCCCCCAUUUCUAUGGGUUCCUCUCCCCUCUAUGUGAUGUUCUGUAUGGGCUCCUCUCUCCUCUAUGUGAUGUUCUGUAUGGGCUCCUCUCUCUCCUCUAUGUGAUGUUCUGUAUGGGCUCCUCUCUCCUCUAUGUGAUGUUCUGUAUGGGCUCCUCUCCCCUCUAUGGGUUGUUCUGUAUAGGUUCGCUGAUCUUCAGACAGCCCCAGUAGAUCAUUCUGCACAUGCUCAGUACAGCCAGGAGAAUCAGGAAGACCCAGGAGGCAUAGAUCCCUCUGUUGAGCAAGGCUGAUUUACACGUUCCCACCUAGAGGGGGAAACAGAGAGGGGGAAAAAAAACAGAGAGGUUAGAGUACUAGGCAUAGUUCCAUCUGGCUUCAAUGUUCCCACCUACAGAUGCUUACACACACACACACAAUUGUGACUGAAAUAGUAUCUUCAGAAACUAA
rnacentral:lncRNA from 13 species